GAGAGAGAGAGAGAGAGGAGGAAAAAUAUGGGCGUAAUAAAUCCAAAUCUUUUCACAUAAGUUAAACCCACAAUCCACAGGAAUCAUCUCUAGAACUCCAAAGCUCCACUUUGUUAAUUUCUGUUAAGGAAAACAGGUUCUAAGACAAUCAAUAACAAAUGAAAAAUACUCAAAUAAUCUACUUAUAUAUCAAUUUUUUCUUUGCAUCUAUAUGAUUAAGGUACAUAUAGAUUUUAUGAGAAUUCUAAAAAGAGAAUUGAAAUUAGUUUUUUAAAAAACUAUAUCUUUAUAAUGUGCAUUAUGCUAAUGUUCAAAAUAAAUUUUGUACUCUUUAUCAGGUAUAUAGAAUGUUCUGUUCUAAUGAACUUUUGCGUAUGCUCUAGUUAUCAAAAAGUCAACAGAUAAAACCUUAUUUUAAAAAGGGUCCAAAGUGUACAAGUAAACAAAAAGUUUUAUCAUUUAUGUUGCCCAAAGUAUUAACACCCAUAACUCAAACUUGCACCCCUGCAAGCUUAAAGUUUCAUCAUUGCACCAGGCAUGGUCCCCUAAGCACACGUAAUCUGUAGGUUAAGAUAUAAAUAUUCUGUGCCUCCUCCUAUUUUUCACUUGAAAUUAUUUCUCCAUCUCUUCUCCUUGUCACCAUGUCAACAGAAAAGUGUAUCUUCCAGAGCAUGUAAAAUUCUAUUGCAUGCAGCUUUCUUUUGUAGCUCAACAUAUCUAUUUGAAAAUUCUCACUUGAACUCUCCAAGCAAAGCAAGCUAUUUGUAGGCAGACCAACAUUUUACUUCAAGAGAUACUCAGAUGCACAUAAAAGAUAUUUUCCAAAUUACCUAUGAAACGGCAUGCCAAUCUUUCAGCUAAUCCAUAUUUUCAUAUUGUAUUGUGAUGCUACUAUUACAAGGAAUGCUUACUGCGAUUUACAGUCAAACACCCAUGAGUCUUACUGCAAUCAACCAUUAUAUUCCCCCAAUAACAAUUUUUUUCCUUCUUUUACCAAAAAGUUGCACCCAAAAUAAGUGCAUUCACUAGUACAACAUUCAUGAAUCUUACUUCAUGAAAGUAUUAUUUUAAUUCCCCUAAAACACACAAACCAAUUUAUUCGCCCAAAACAAGUGUCAAACAAACAAUACUCUUUUAAGUUUCAAGAAAAAUGAACUAGAUAACCAACUGCAAGAAUAAUUCAAUUUUCAAA
rnacentral:misc_RNA from 1 species